UACGAAGGGUGCAAACGUUGCUCGGAAUUAUUGGGCGUAAAGCGCACGUAGGCGGCUUUGCAAGUCGGAUGUGAAAUCCCUCGGCUCAACCAAGGAAGUGCAUCCGAAACUGCAGAGCCUGAGUACCAAAGAGGAUCGCGGAAUUCCCGGUGUAGAGGUGAAAUUCGUAGAUAUCGGGAGGAACACCAGUGGCGAAGGCGGCGAUCUGGGUGGAUACUGACGCUGAGGUGCGAAAGCGUGGGGAGCAAACAGG
rnacentral:rRNA from 1 species